GUUAUUUAGCCUCCAUCGCGACAAGCUACUAUGUCAUGAUUGGUACCAAUGGAUUCUUUAGGUUUUCUAGUUUCAUAUAAUACCAGUAUCUUCAAUCCAGCUUUAAAAUAAAUAUCAAAUAAGAGCCGGGCCUGACGGCGGCCCAUCGGAUUUAUAAGAGGUUAAAAAAAAAGUUGCGUGAAUGUGUUGUGGUAGACAUUUUUUUGGUCAGCAUCAGUGUUUUACGAAAGAGGGAAUUUGACUCAAGCUUGUUGCCAAGAUUUUCAGAAGAGGUUUUCCUCUCUGUGAUGAACAGGAAAAGGCUUUUAUUGUUGUUGUUGCCGACUCACAGAGCUUAAUAUCCCUCACUGGGUUUAAUGAUGUGUUUUAUAUUGUACAUCCAGCCUCUGUGUUACGUGAUAAUAACACACAACCAUUUUCCUCCAUGUUUUGGUUUUACAUCUCCCUUUGUUUUCUUUUUUUGUAUGGUCUUCCUCAGUGUUUGUUGAAUUGUGUUUCUCCUGAACCGAGUUUCCAUUUUGGACUUUCAUGGACACUUUUUAAAAAGAUGGAAAGGUUUGUAGAGGAUGGUGGGAGAUUCAGGGAUGCCUCUGAUAUUUCCUUUUGUGGAAGUGUUUGUACAAAGGAGUAGACUGUUGUGAUAAUGAUGAUGACUUAGACAAAAAAAAACACUUGUAAAACACUAUUCUGGUUUUUGGCUGAAGCUGCUGAGUAAUCUGAGGCGAGUGUGUGAGAGUGAGUGUGUGUGUGUGUGUGAAUGUUCUUUAAACACAAAGCUGAACAUUUUUCUUUUUUUAAAUUAUUGAUUGUACAGUUUCAAGGCAAGGGUAUGAAGAGUUAAGACUUUUUCACAAUAAAACUAUUGAAUGUUGGA